CUGUCCCUCGGCUCCGGGGAGGGAAAGGGGGAGCUGUGCACGGGGGACUGGGAGGAGCUAAGGGGCGACCCUCACGCUCCCUUUUCGCCAAGUCGGGGUCCUGAGCGCCGCCAAAGGGGUAGAGGGAAUGUUGUGGGCUGGGGCACACCCAGGAGCGCGGGAACUGGAGGAAGGAAGAAACAGCGCCGGGGACCCAGGGCACCCUCUCUCCAGUUCCCCGGCCCGCCCGGCGGCGUUCGCCACUCCCUCCUUACGACCUGCUCCGUCGCUAGCUGUCCGGGGGCGGCCGGCUUGGCCCGCUGACCCCGGCGUUCCGAGGCGCUCUGGAUCACUGCUUCGGCCCCUACUUUGCGAACGGUGCUCCCAUCCCCUGCUCACGCCAUCCGGCAUCUGCGCCCUCCAAGCACCCUCCCCGCUCCGCUUCCAGGGCCCGAGUGUGCGCCCCUUCUGGAAAUGCCACGCGAGGAGGACAAACUUUUGAGGGGAUCGACAGGGGCCAGUCCCGCAGCAGGUCAAGAAAAAGUUGGAUUUGCCUGCAAAGACCUUGGCCUGAGUUUACAAAUCUUGGAAGAGCCAGAGAGGAAAAAAAGUGGAAAAGAAUAAUGACAAUCCCUACUAAAUCUGCAAGCAGACAUCAGUACACAUAGGAGUCAUCUUCCUCUGGAUGGAGAGACUGAAUGAUUUUGGCUCCUGAGCAUCUAUCCACGGAUCAUCCCUGAUUAUCCAGGCCCACUGCCUUCCACAUCUGCUGGGCAACAAAGGCAGGCAGCUCAUUUCAGGCCAUGAAAAAGCGAGUGCAGAACAAUCUCUUUGCUCCAACCCGGGCGGGCCGCAGGAAAGGAGAGAGCCCAGCUCAUUUCGCAGGAUCCGGAGUCUCAGCAGGCAGAGCCCUGACACUGCUGCAUCCUGGAGUCUGCGCAGAAAGCAGCUUUUGCCUUUGGGUUCUCUUUGCUGCCUUGGCCUCUGCUCUGUUCAGUUUGCCGGUAUGUUUUUCUCCCCAUUUGGGGGUUGUGGGGGACAGGGACAUGAGAUGAUUCUCCCCAUUCCCCUUAUCCUGCCCUGUGCCCCCCAACCUCACAGCUGCUGAUAGUAAUGAACUGCAGCUUCCAGCCCUGCCCAUCAUCGAAGCAAAUUCAAUUUUUUUUCCAGGCAGGAGAAGGGCAGAUGCUCCUUCCUCAAUCCCCCUUUGCUCAUUGAUCCAUUCUGAGGGCACUUGGGGGUCAAAAGUGAGACCAGAUGUGUAAAAAUUAGCAUUUCUUAUCACACCAAAGGCCUAGAUCUCUUACCCUAAGGAACAUGAGAUCCUUGCCCAGACUCACACCUGUUCUCUGGCCGAUCAAGUCAGUGAUGAUUCAAAUUGUAAAGCUUUGUUCAGGCGGAGGAAGGGAAGGGAAAAUGAGCAGUUUGCUCUGUGUAGCAGUCAGUAGCUUCAGCUGCUCAUUCUGUUAAUACUUAUUACAUAUCUGCCAUGUACGAAGCAUUGUGUAGGCCUGAGUUUGCCAUGACUAUCAGAAGAUUCUUGUCACUAUGAGGCCUCCAUGUGUCGACAAAUAUACAAACAGACCAACGGAAAUUUGGCUUGGACUCGUGAUUUUCUUUUUUUUUUUUUUUUUUUUUUUUUUUUGUCUUUUUCAUUUUUAUCGGUACUGGGGAUCGAACUCACGACUGCCUGCUUACAAGGCAGGUGCUUAUGCCGCUGAGCUAAAUCCCCAGCCCCCGUGGACUCGUGAUUUUCAGUGCAGCCUUUUACAUGCCCGGUCUGAGAGCCGAUGUCUUCCCAGCUCCAGAUCCACAGCCCCAGACAGAUGAAAAGCAGGAUGAUUCCAAGCCACUGGUUCUUCCCACUGGAAAACUAUUAAAGUAGAAAUAAGAGAAACCUCCUCCUGGGAUUGAUACACACAAAGCUUGAAAUAAAGGUUUGGGAUAGCCAGCAAGGGCCCUCCAAAAACA